AUGAACCCUGCCUAUGCCCCCUGGUUGAUCCAGGACCAACAAAUCGUAGCAUAUCUUCUUAGGAAUCUGUCCAAGGAGGUUCUCGUCCAGGUUGUGUCGCUUGAGCGAUCACAUGCGAUCUGGAGCGCCCUAGGGAACAUGUUCUCAGUUGUCUCCCUCUCUCACGCCAAUAACAUCCGAGCCGCUCUCACCAACGCAUAG
rnacentral:rRNA from 1 species